rnacentral:lncRNA from 13 species
GCUGUAAAAGAAGCUUGGCUCUGACAUCUGCUUCUGGUGAAGGCCUCAGGAAACUUAUUAUUGUCCUGGAAGGUGAAGGGGAGCAGAUGCAUCACAUGGUGACAGCAGGAGCAAUAAAGAAAAAGAAGGAGGCGCCACAAGCUUUUAAAGAACCAGAUUUUGCGUGAACUCAGUGAGAAUUCCUGAAUCACCAGGGGGAUGACAGGAGAACAAGAUCAACUCCAAAGACUUAAUUACAGGGCAGAAGAAGAAAUCUAUAAAGGACUUAAAGGUGACAGGCUAAAAGGUGCAGGAGAGAUGCCUCAAGGGACAGAGAGAUCUGAAAUUGUUACAUUAAAUAAGUUUCCUAGGCAGAGCAAGAAAUGGCCUGGAGUCUGCUCCUGGUUACAACUUUAAUCAUUACAUACAAGCUGACUGCGAAAAUCUAUCUGAAUGAUGAACAAAAUACUUUAAUCUGGACUUCAUUACGUUACGUUUGCAACUUUGGAGUUCUGAAUUUGUAAUAAGGGCAUGAAAGAUUUACCUGCAAUGCCAUUCUCAUUGAAU